rnacentral:rRNA from 1 species
UUGACAUCCAGAGAAUUUAGCAGAGAUGCUUUAGUGCCUUCGGGAACUCUGAGACAGGUGCUGCAUGGUUGUCGUCAGCUCGUGUUGUGAAAUGUUGGGUUAAGUCCCGNAACGAGCGCAACCCUUAUCCUUUGUUGCCAGCACGUAAUGGUGGGAACUCAAAGGAGACUGCCGGUGAUAAACCGGAGGAAGGUGGGGAUGACGUCAAGUCAUCAUGGCCCUUACGAGUAGGGCUACACACGUGCUACAAUGGCGCAUCAAAGAGAAGCGACCUCGCGAGAGCAAGCGGACCUCAUAAAGUGCGUCGUAGUCCGGAUUGGAGUCUGCAACUCGACUCCAUGAAGUCGGAAUCGCUAGUAAUCGUAAAUCAGAAUGUUACGGUGAAUACGUUCCCGGGCCUUGUACACACCGCCCGUCACACCAUGGGAGUGGGUUGCAAAAGAAGUAGAUAGCUUAACCUUCGGGAGGGCGUUUACCACUUUGUGAUUCAUGACUGGGGUGAAGUCGUAACAAGGUAAGCGUAGUGCU